CCCCAUCUUAGAAGUGGGCUGCUGGUUACUACUUGUCAAGUGCAGCACCCUGCACUUGUCAGUAUUGAAACGCAUCCUGUUUUUGUUAGCCCACCCCUGUAACCUAUCC